rnacentral:rRNA from 1 species
UACAGAGGGUGCAAGCGUUAAUCGGAAUUACUGGGCGUAAAGCGUGCGUAGACGGUUACAUAAGUCGGGUGUGAAAGCCCCGGGCUCAACCUGGGAAUUGCAUUCGAGACUGCGUAGCUAGGGUGCGGAAGAGGGAAGCGGAAUUUCCGGUGUAGCGGUGGAAUGCGCAGAUAUCAGGAGGAACACCGAUAGCGAAGGCAGCUCGCUGGGACGGUACUGACGCUGAGGCGCGAAAGCGUGGGGAGCGAACAGG